UUUCGCCUCCUCUCCUACACCAACCCAACUCCAACCCCGACUCUGUUUAUUUUUUUAAUUUAUUUUUCUCUGCACCUCCUCUUACCUCUCAACCUUCUUGAUUCUCUCUCUCUCUCUCUCUCUCUCUCUCUCUCCAUGUGUCUGUUUCAAUGUUUUCACGGGAAAUUUUGGCUUGGAAAGUUGAUAACUUUGUGCUGCCUGUGGCGAGAUUAGUUUUCCGGGGAGAAAAUGGAAGUUUGGAGCUUCUUUUUUUUUUUUUCCCCUUCCUUUGAACUUCUUGUCCUGAAUUCAUCUCUUCCUUGAGUAUCAUGUGCUAGAAUUUUAUUUCCUAAUCAAAAUUCCUCAUCUGGGUAUCACUAAACUGUUAUCAAUCUUUCUUACUUCAAUUCCUUUUCUAAUCCAAUGGCGCAAGCAGAGAAACCUCUGAACACCCAAAACCACCACCAGCAACAUCAGCACAUGUCUUUGAGCAAUAAUUUCCAUAAAGAUUUUGUGCAAACAUUCAUGCCUGGUAAUCAUUUCAACCACAAAGUUUGUGAAGAAACAGAAGGAGAAGAUGUUGAGUUAAGGCUUGGACUCUCGUUGAAUGGUAGAUUUGGUGUCGACCCAAAAGCUAACAAGCUCACUAGAUCAUCUUCAAUUCCAGAUUUUAUUAACCCAGCAAGAGAUAAUGGCAGUGCUUUUAUGGUAAAUUUGGUGAGUAACAAUCUUGUAAGGACUUGGUCUCUGCCUACAGAGACUGAUGAGGAGUGGAGGAAGAGGAAGGAGCUGCAGAUGCUUAGGAGAAUGGUCCAAAUGGAGGCUAAAAGGAAACGAUCAGAGAAACAAAGGAAUUUGAAGGCACUAAAUGAUAGAAAUAAGGGUUUUGGAGAAGAGAGCUACGAGGAAGAUAAGAGAGAAAAUGGCACCAUUAGCAAGAAUCAUAAGGAGCAGUUUGUCAAGAAUUUCAAUGGGCUGUUUGGAGCUAGUGCAGAAGGGCUUUUACCGCGAGCUCUAGUGACAGUAACAUCAUCUCAAGGGUCGAUUGGAUCACAGGAAAGUGGGUCAUCUGAAUCAGAAUCCGAGAGCCAGCCAGUUCAAGGGAUUUUGCUUCGUAAUGUCAAUCAGCAUGAUCACAAUUUUAUAGCUCUUUAUGUCGGUGAGGCUUUCAAUUUUAAACUGGGCCAACUUGUCAAGGCUCUGCUCUUUAUCAGGGGCAAGAUGGCAGACUUGAAAGGAACAAACAAAUGCAACGAGGCAAGAAGCCUUGUGAGUGUUCAGUCUUUGUCAGAGUGUGACCAGAAAUUGAUGGCUACCCCUAAAUCAACGAUCAGUAAAAAAUCAAGCAGUCAUGAUGGUGUUGCAGUGGAAAAUAGCAGAUGUAGUGAACCUACAGUAGAGAAUGGAGCUAAGGAAAUGGUGAGGAAUUUAAUGGAAGACAUGCCAUGUGUGUCUACAAAGGGAGAUGGCCCCAAUGGAAAAAGAAUCAAAGGUUUUCUCUAUAGGUAUAAGAAAGGCGAGGAGGUGAGGAUAGUGUGUGUUUGCCAUGGAAGCUUUCUCUCACCAGCUGAAUUUGUGAAGCACGCUGGUGGUGGUGAUGUAGCACAUCCCCUUAAGCACAUAGUGGCAAGACUAAUGCCGAACAAAUGAGAGAUCAAAAUGGCCAUCCAGAACAACGAGGAUGUAAUUGGGCUGCAAGUUUGGUCUUAUAAUUAGCGAUUUAAAUUUAAUUCGCAGGCUAUGCUGCCUCCAUCAACGAUUGCCUCAUUGGCUGACCUUGGCUUGCUUCUUUUCGGUCUUGAUUGUGUCCAUACGCUUUUCUCAUUGCUUUUGUUUCUUCUGUGGGUGAGAAAUUUUAUUGCUUUUUGUGUAUAUGAGAAAUAUGUGGGUGAGAAAUUAAUGUCAAAUUUUCUUUCUUUUGAAAAUUGGGUAUUUGAAUAUGUGAGCUUUUGUUA